rnacentral:rRNA from 1 species
GACGAACGCUGGCGGCGUGCCUAAUACAUGCAAGUCGAACGCAGUGGGGACGGGUGAGUAACACGUGGGUAACCUCGCAACAGAGGGGAUAACACUUGGAAAUAGGUGCUAAACCGAUAUUGCCGGAUGGCCCUGCGGGGCAUUAGCUAGUUGGUGAGGGAACGGCUCACCAAGUCCACGAUGCAUAGCCGACCGGAGAGGGUGAGCGGCCACACUGGGACUGAGACACGGCCCAGACUCCUACGGGAGGCAGCAGUAGGGAAUCUUCGGCAAUGGACGAAAGUCUGACCGAGCAACGCCGCGUGAGUGAAGAAGGUUUUCGGAUCGUAAAACUCUGUUGUUAGAGAAGCGGUAUCUAACCAGAAAGCCACGGCUAACUACGUGCCAGCAGCCGCGGUAAUAC